UUAGGAAUUUUGGGCAAUGGGCGAAAGCCUGACCCAGCAACGCCGCGUGGGUGAAGAAGGCCUUCGGGUCGUAAAGCCCUUUUCUGAGGGACGAUAAUGACGGUACCUCAGGAAUAAGCACCGGCUAACUACGUGCCAGCAGCCGCGGUAAUACGUAGGGUGCAAGCGUUGCCCGGAUUUAUUGGGCGUAAAGCGCGUGUAGGUGGUUUGGUGUGCUCCGCGUGAAAUCUCCCGGCUCAACCGGGAGAGGUCGCGGAUGACUACCGAACUCGAGCCUGGGAGGGGAAAGUGGAAUUCCCGGUGUAGUGGUGGAAUGCGUAGAUAUCGGGAGGAACACCAGUGGCGAAGGCGACUUUCUGGACCAGAGCUGACACUGAGACGCGAAAGCGUGGGGAGCGAUCCGG
rnacentral:rRNA from 1 species